UGCCGAUUUAGCUCAGCUGGUAGAGCGCUUCACUUGUAAUGAAGAUGUCGCGGGUUCGACUCCUGCAAUCGGCACCAA
rnacentral:tRNA from 2 species